UUUUGUCACCACAGGAAGGCGACGGGAGAAAAUCUUUUAAAGGAUCUCCCUAGUGAAAACACGAGACGCUGCCUGGUAGCCAAUGCCACACCCGGAGGAUCCCCUGCGUCCCCCCGCCCCCCACAGCUGCGCAUCCCGCAAUGCAGCAGCAGAGAAUGCUGCCAGCACCGCGUGGGAGGCAGGACUGGACAGGAGGCGCUGUGGGGACCCCGUUGUUUUUCCUACGAGUCCCAGGGAUUAGGGUGGGGCGGGAGCUGUGGCAUCCUUAUCGUCGCCCUGUCCUUAAUUCCAGGAAAAAACGCCAGACUCUAUCAUAUGACCCAGACACUAGAGGACCCCAUUGGCUAGCUCAAUUAAUAAAUUUGGGGAUGGAAAA
rnacentral:lncRNA from 1 species